rnacentral:ncRNA from 2 species
GCACGCCGUAUGAGGUGAAAGUCUCAUGUACGGUGUAGAGUGGGGGAAAAUUCGGAGAUAAUAUCAAAGAAUUACCUAUCACUAU